rfam:Triticum aestivum genome assembly, contig: Triticum_aestivum_CS42_TGACv1_scaffold_433367_5DL
CAAAUACUCCCUCCGUCCGGAAAUACUUGUCAUCAAAAUGGAUAAAAAGGGAUGUAUCUAGACACUCCCUUUUUAUCCAUUUUGAUGACAAGUAUUUUCGGACGGAGGGAGUAUGUG